UAGGGAAUUUUCGUCAAUGGGCGCAAGCCUGAACGAGCGAUGCCGCGUGAGUGAAGAAGGCCUUCGGGUCGUAAAGCUCUGUUGCAGGGGAAAAAAGGCAGCAUCAGGAAAUGGGUGCUGACUGAUGGUGCCCCGCCAGAAAGUCACGGCUAACUACGUGCC
rnacentral:rRNA from 1 species